UACGUAGGGGGCAAGCGUUGUCCGGAAUCAUUGGGCGUAAAGAGCGUGUAGGCGGUUCAGUAAGUCUGCUGUGAAAGUCAAGGGCUCAACCCUUGAAUGCCGGUCGAUACUGCCGGACUAGAGUCCGGAAGAGGCAAGUGGAAUUCCCGGUGUAGCGGUGAAAUGCGCAGAUAUCAGGAGGAACACCGGUGGCGAAGGCGGGUCUCUGGGCAGUAACUGACGCUGAGGAACGAAAGCGUGGGUAGCAAACAGG
rnacentral:rRNA from 1 species